AUGUGGUUUAAUUCGAUGAUACGCGAGGAACCUUACCUGGGCUCGAACGUAAGAUGACUGUAGGUGAAAGCUUACAUCUCUUCGGAGCAUUUUACGAGGUGCUGCAUGGUUGUCGUCAGCUCGUGCCGUGAGGUGUCGGGUUAAGUCCCAUAACGAGCGCAACCCUACCUUUAGUUGCCAUCAGGUAAUGCUGGGGACUCUAAAGGAACUGCCUACGCAAGUAGUGAGGAAGCGGGGAUGACGUCAAAUCAGCACGGCCCUUACGUCCAGGGCUACACACGUGCUACAAUGGCCGAUACAGAGGGCAGCUACCUGGUGACAGGAUGCAAAUCUCCAAAGUCGGUCUCAGUUCGGAUCGGAGUCUGCAACCCGACUCCGUGAAGUUGGAUUCGCUAGUAAUCGCGCAUCAGCCAUGGCGCGGUGAAUACGUUCCCGGGCCUU
rnacentral:rRNA from 1 species